GCUCUCCGAAGUAGUCUGGUGGCACUUACUCCUGCUUUUCUGCAGACGGACCAACAAGCAGGGAGAAGGUGCAGAGCAGUGAUCGAGCAGAUGAAAGUCCAGACAACAAAUGACAAAUGAUCCUCGAGCUCUCAGUAGACAGGAACAGCAGCUUCUGGGCUCCAGCCGCCUCACAGACCAAUCUGUCAAUCAGUGCAUGAGCCUGCCAUUCAGCCUGCCCCAGAACCAGCGUAGAAUCAGAGGUCUGCAUCAAUCCACUCCACUUUUGUGUGCCAGGAUGGCCUUGAAUGUGUGGUUGCCCAGGCAAGACGAUGCAGUGACUUCAGAAAAGCCUCUAAGGAAACUACUGGCAAAGUUGGGGAGUCAGUCAGUCCUAUUUAUUCAACACUUACUGUGUGCAGAGAACUGUACUAAGUACUUGGGAGAAUACAGUAAGGCCCUGGUCUGAGCCAAGCUCCAGCCAGAAAAGAGAAUCCGAGGCCUUCGAUAGAAAAGUGAAAUCCCUUUCCUCCUGAGGGAAAGAGCAGGAAACUCCCCAAGUGAAGAGAAGUAUUAUCUUUGUAGUCAGCAAAAAGUUUUCUUUUGCUAACAUGCUAGAGAUCUCUUAUCUAGACAUGUCCUCUCUGAAAUGGGCUGUAAUCCCUAUUCAGCUAAAAUAUUCAGGUCCAAAUUCUUCAAAAGUUGAAGGGAAGGGAGGUGUUGAACCUGAAAGUUUGCUGUGGCUUUAAUCUCCAGAAGUAAAGAAUGGAGCUAUUGAACUUUAUCAAGGGUUCUAACAGGGAUCUGGGUAUAAUGUAACUUAGUCCUUCUCACUACUCAUUAACUGUUCUCCCUAGAGGGAUGGUCAAGAUAUUUAUUCUCCUGAUGUUAUUAACUGUAUUUCGCCGCCUAGGUGCCUCAAACCUCUCCCCGAAGAAGUGCUCCUUAAGAGACUCCUUCCAGGGAGAAGAAACUGCAUGAGGAGAUGAGCUCUGGCCAUGGAAAGCCGAUCCCGCCGUGCCCUCUGGGCGCUCAUGAGCACACCGUCAGCCCAUAACCAUCGUCCCUUGUCCCUGCCAUACAGGCAGUGGCAACCUGCCCUCCAGACAGCUGGGGAAGCUGAAGCCUUUGGGCCCAAGGUAAUUCCGCUCUGCAGAAUCCCCCAUGGCCGGCUCUCCAGUGUCCACUCCUUUGUGGAAGAAGCUGGUGGAUUUCAAAGGCUUCAGGUCAAGUCCGACUACACUGAAGCAGACGAACCAGGAGAACAGGGAUCGCGUUUUCAGCUCAAGGUGAAGGGGCUGCUGUCAGCCACCACUUCCACAUGCUACCCAAAUCAGGUAAGAAGGACUGGUCAACACUGCUUGUCCAAUCACUCUGCUCUGCCUGGACAGUUGAAGUCUCUCAUGUGA
rnacentral:lncRNA from 1 species